UACGUAGGGUGCGAGCGUUAAUCGGAAUUACUGGGCGUAAAGCGUGCGCAGGCGGUCUGUUAAGACCGAUGUGAAAUCCCCGGGCUUAACCUGGGAACUGCAUUGGUGACUGGCAGGCUUUGAGUGUGGCAGAGGGAGGUAGAAUUCCACGUGUAGCAGUGAAAUGCGUAGAGAUGUGGAGGAAUACCGAUGGCGAAGGCAGCCUCCUGGGCCAAGACUGACGCUCAUGCACGAAAGCGUGGGGAGCAAACAGG
rnacentral:rRNA from 1 species